CUCUUGCUCUCUCUUGAACAUUUUCAAUUCAAUUUUUAAGUUGGUUCUCAAUAUUUUCAUCAAUUUGAUUUAUAGCUAGCUUUUAGUUUUUGGGUACCUCUGACUUUGUUAUUAUUUGAUUGAAUUUGGCUGUAGGAGUGAGAUUAGUAGCUGAACAUUUUAUGUCUGAUGAGUUAUUUGCUGGUUGGUGGUAAUUGCUGAAAGGCUGAAGUGUAGUCUUAUAUGCACGCAAAGGCUGAAGGUGUAACAACAAUCAAAGGCUUAAGUGUUGUACCAGCAGGUCGCUUAUGGCAACAUCGACAACAUCAAAGCUCUUCACGGAGAAGGUGUUGGACUUGAGAUUCUUCCGGAAUGUCAGCUGAAGAUCCUGAUUGCGAUGGAGAUGAUGACAACCAUGAAAAGAUCAUUCAUGAGGUUUAGAGCUUCCAAUAAUAAGUUUCUUUUGCAGUCAAUCAUGUAAAAAAGGAAAAAAAAUAAUCUCCAUUGUUGGAAAAGUGAGAUACAAGAAUCCGGUUUCAUAUAAUGCAGACCAUUCUGUUAUUAAAAAAAACACACACACCAGCCACUUGCUGACCGCAUGGCCAUGAAGCUAGGGAGGAAGCAAGGCUCACAGUGGUAUCAAUAUGAUGUACCAGCCAGAGGAGUCUCAUAAGGAUUUGUACUUAUCAGAGCUACAUCUGUUUUAGAUGUCAAUUUAUCUAAUUUUCAUGAACAUGAACCUUGAUUUGCUGCUGUACUAUUUUAAUUUAAAAAAAACGGAAAUUUCAUGAAAUGCCCUC